ensembl:misc_RNA Metazoa_SRP Metazoan signal recognition particle RNA
GCUGGGUGUAGUGGUGGGCACCUGUAAUCCCAGCUACUUGGGAGGCUGAGGCAGGAGAAUCGCUCGAACCCGGGAGAUAGAGGUUGCAGUGAGCCGAUAUCGUGCCACUGCAUUCCAUCCUGGGUGACAGAGCGAAACUCGGUUUCAA